GUCUCUUCUCGCUACAGAAGGAGGUCUCUACUCUCUAUAGACUAGGUGUCUCUACAGAAGUAGGUCUCUACUCUCUAUAGAACGGGGUCUCUACUCUCUACAGAAGGAGGUGUCUACUCUAUAGACUAGGUGUCUCUACAGAAGGAGGUCACUUCUCUACUCUCUAUAGACUAGGGGUCUCUACAGAAGGAGGUCUUUACCCUCUACACAAGGAGAGCUCUACUCUCUAUAGACUAGGGGUCUCUCCAGAAUGAGGUCUCUACUCUCUAUAGACUAGGGGUCUCUCCAGAAUGAGGUCUCUACUCUCUAUAGACUAGGGGUCUCUCCAGAAUGAGGUCUCUACUCUCUAUAGACUAGGGGUCUCU
rnacentral:lncRNA from 1 species